CUGUAACUAUGAAUGCGAUCUUUUAUGAAUUCGUAUUUGUAUUCACUUUUCAACUCACAACUUCUUUUAUUGCGCAAAGAAGCAGAAAUACUGAUGGUUGUGGCGAAGCAGGGAUCUGGACAGUGUACAAUAGCCAGUGUUACCAAUGUAUAAAUGACACUGUUUCAUGGCAAACAGCAAGAUCAUCGUGUCAGCAGUUAGGGGCAGAUCUUGUAACCAUUAAUAAUGCAGGGACACAGAACUUUACAGAGAAUCUUUGCGUCGAUGCACGCCAUUGGAUUGGACUGAACGAUAUAUCAAAUGAAGGCAGCUUUGUCUGGGUUGCAACGUCAAUGCAAGCUACUUAUCUGAAUUGGAACCCCGGUGAGCCGAAUGGGUUAGCGAACGAAAAUUGUGUUCACCUAUUUGCAAGCAUACAUACUUGGAAUGAUUUAGAUUGCACAGCAAAUCUUUCUUACAUUUGUCAGAAAGAUCAAGACUUUGACGAGUGUGUAAGCUCUCCAUGUGUACACGGUACUUGUACAGAUCAGCUACACUCCUACACAUGUCAUUGUCAGCCAGGGUAUACCGGAACAAACUGUGAAACAGACGUGGAUGAAUGUCAAAGUUCACCGUGUAUCCAUGGCAACUGCAGUGACCUUAUAAAUGAGUAUAUAUGUCAAUGUUUACCUGGAUAUGAUGGACUUCAAUGUCAGAUAGACGUUGAUGAAUGCCAGAGUUCACCGUGUAUCCAUGGUAACUGUAGUGACCUUGUAAAUGAGUAUAGCUGUCAGUGUUUUCCUGGAUAUGAAGGACUUCAAUGUCAAAAAGAUAUUAAUGAAUGUGAGAGCUCACCUUGCGUACAUGGCAACUGUAUUGACAACAUCAACUACUUUGUUUGUGAGUGUGCAUUUGGAUACAAAGGGAUAUAUUGUGACCAAUUUAACACCCUGCUGCUGUUCAUCUUGUUUACCUUUUUUCCAAUCAUUAUGCUGGUUCUCACCUGGUAUCUUAGUAAAAGGAUAAGCCAUAACAAAGUAGAGGAUGACUUAGACAUUUUUGUGUUUCCAGACGUUUUACGUGAAGAAUCAAAGCCAAAAUUGUUCUUACAUAUUUUAAGGAAUAAAAAAUAG
rnacentral:sRNA from 1 species